rnacentral:rRNA from 1 species
UACGUAGGGUGCAAGCGUUGUCCGGAAUUAUUGGGCGUAAAGAGCUCGUAGGCGGUCUGUCGCGUCUGCUGUGAAAACUCGGGGCUUAACCCCGGGCCUGCAGUGGGUACGGGCAGACUAGAGUGCGGUAGGGGAGACUGGAAUUCCUGGUGUAGCGGUGAAAUGCGCAGAUAUCAAGGAGGAACACCGGUGGCGAAGGCGGGUCUCUGGGCCGUAACUGACGCUGAGGAGCGAAAGCAUGGGGAGCGAACAGG